UGGGGAAUAUUGCGCAAUGGGGGCAACCCUGACGCAGCCAUGCCGCGUGUCUGAAGAAGGCCUUCGGGUUGUAAAGGACUUUUGUCAGGGAAGAAAAGGAGUUGGUUAAUACCCGACUCUGAUGACGGUACCUGAAGAAUAAGCACCGGCUAACUACGUGCCAGCAGCCGCGGUAAUACGUAGGGUGCGAGCGUUAAUCGGAAUUACUGGGCGUAAAGCGAGCGCAGACGGUUUGUUAAGCAGGAUGUGAAAUCCCCGGGCUCAACCUGGGAACUGCGUUCUGAACUGGCAGGCUAGAGUGUGUCAGAGGGGGGUAGAAUUCCACGUGUAGCAGUGAAAUGCGUAGAGAUGUGGAGGAAUACCGAUGGCGAAGGCAGCCCCCUGGGAUAACACUGACGUUCAUGCUCGAAAGCGUGGGUAGCAAACAGGAUUAGAUACCCUGGUAGUCCACGCCCUAAACGAUGUCAAUUAGCUGUUGGGCAACUUGAUUGCUUAGUAGCGUAGCUAACGCGUGAAAUUGACCGCCUGGGGAGUACGGUCGCAAGAUUA
rnacentral:rRNA from 1 species